CCUACGGGAGGCAGCAGUGGGGAAUAUUGGGCAAUGGACGCAAGUCUGACCCAGCAACGCCGCGUGAAGGAUGAAGGCUUUCGGGUUGUAAACUUCUUUUAAGGGGGAAGAGCAGAAGACGGUACCCCUUGAAUAAGCCACGGCUAACUACGUGCCAGCAGCCGCGGUAAUACGUAGGUGGCAAGCGUUGUCCGGAUUUACUGGGUGUAAAGGGCGUGCAGCCGGAGAGACAAGUCAGAUGUGAAAUCCACGGGCUCAACCCGUGAACUGCAUUUGAAACUGUUUCACUUGAGUGUCGGAGAGGUAAUCGGAAUUCCUUGUGUAGCGGUGAAAUGCGUAGAUAUAAGGAAGAACACCAGUGGCGAAGGCAGAUUACUGGACGAUAACUGACGGUGAGGCGCGAAAGCGUGGGUAUCAAACAGGAUUAGAUACCCUGGUAGUC
rnacentral:rRNA from 1 species